rnacentral:rRNA from 1 species
UACGUAGGCAGCAAGCGUUGUUCGGAAUUACUGGGCGUAAAGAGUGUGUAGGCGGUGCUCUAAGGUCGGUGUGAAAUCUCCCGGCUCAACUGGGAGGGUGCGCCGGAAACUGGGGUGCUGGAGCGCGGGAGAGGAAAGCUGAACUCCUGGUGGAGCGGUGAAAUGCGUAGAUAUCAGGAGGAACACCGGUGGCGAAGGCGGCUCUCUGGUCCAUGACUGACGCUGAGGUGCGAAAGCUAGGGGAGCAAACGGG